rnacentral:rRNA from 1 species
CCCUUAGAUGUUCUGGGCCGCACGCGCGCUACAAUGAUGAAUUCAACGAGUUUAUAACCUUGGUUGAAAAGCCUGGGUAAUCUUUUGAACUUUCGUCGUGAUGGGGCUAGACCCUUGCAAUUAUUGGUCUCCAACGAGGAAUUCCUAGUAAACGCAAGUCAUCAGCUUGCAUUGAUUACGUCCCUGCCCUUUGUACACACCGCCCGUCGCACCUACCGAUUGAAUGGUUUAGUGAGGGCCUCGGAUUGGUCUCGGCCCGCUCUUUACCGGGCGGCGCCGUUGGUCGAGAAGACGCUCGAACUUGAUCGUUUAGAGGAAGUAAAAGUCGUAACA